GGCGGUGUAGCUCAGUGGUCAGAGCACUCGGUUCAUACCCGGGGUGUCACUGGUUCAAAUCCAGUCACCGCUACCA
rnacentral:tRNA from 2 species